UCCACCGGAAAAAGAGGAGUGGCGAACGGGUGAGUAACACGUGGGUAACCUGCCCAUCAGAAGGGGAUAACACUUGGAAACAGGUGCUAAUACCGUAUAACAAUCAAAACCGCAUGGUUUUGAUUUGAAAGGCGCUUUCGGGUGUCGCUGAUGGAUGGACCCGCGGUGCAUUAGCUAGUUGGUGAGGUAACGGCUCACCAAGGCCACGAUGCAUAGCCGACCUGAGAGGGUGAUCGGCCACAUUGGGACUGAGACACGGCCCAAACUCCUACGGGAGGCAGCAGUAGGGAAUCUUCGGCAAUGGACGAAAGUCUGACCGAGCAACGCCGCGUGAGUGAAGAAGGUUUUCGGAUCGUAAAACUCUGUUGUUAGAGAAGAACAAGGAUGAGAGUAACUGUUCAUCCCUUGACGGUAUCUAACCAGAAAGCCACGGCUAACUACGUGCCAGCAGCCGCGGUAAUACGUAGGUGGCAAGCGUUGUCCGGAUUUAUUGGGCGUAAAGCGAGCGCAGGCGGUUUCUUAAGUCUGAUGUGAAAGCCCCCGGCUCAACCGGGGAGGGUCAUUGGAAACUGGGAGACUUGAGUGCAGAAGAGGAGAGUGGAAUUCCAUGUGUAGCGGUGAAAUGCGUAGAUAUAUGGAGGAACACCAGUGGCGAAGGCGGCUCUCUGGUCUGUAACUGACGCUGAGGCUCGAAAGCGUGGGGAGCAAACAGGAUUAGAUACCCUGGUAGUCCACGCCGUA
rnacentral:rRNA from 1 species